rnacentral:rRNA from 1 species
GGGGAAUUUUGGACAAUGGGGGGAACCCUGAUCCAGCCAUGCCGCGUGUCUGAAGAAGGCCUUCGGGUUGUAAAGCACUUUCAGCGGGGAGGAAGGCGGUGAGGUUAAUAACCUCACCGAUUGACGUUACCCGCAGAAGAAGCACCGGCUAACUCCGUGCCAGCAGCCGCGGUAAUACGGAGGGUGCAAGCGUUAAUCGGAAUUACUGGGCGUAAAGCGCACGCAGGCGGUCUGUCAAGUCGGAUGUGAAAUCCCCGGGCUCAACCUGGGAACUGCAUUCGAAACUGGCAGGCUAGAGUCUUGUAGAGGGGGGUAGAAUUCCAGGUGUAGCGGUGAAAUGCGUAGAGAUCUGGAGGAAUACCGGUGGCGAAGGCGGCCCCCUGGACAAAGACUGACGCUCAGGGGCGAAAGCGUGGGGAGCAAAC